CAAGGCCAAAGUUACUAACGAAACCACAUGUGACGACUUAGGCGUGAGACUGGAAUGGGUUUUAAAGGAAAUUAGAAAAAUGCUGAAACAGUGUAAGUGAAAGUGCGUGACUAGAACCUCACAGGCACUUCCUGGAGGUUAAAGGUGAGAAUAACAAGAUACUUAAUAACUAGAUGACCAGAUGCUGUGAAAGUAGGAAACUACUGAGUUCUCAGUACACUGGUUAAUGAGCACUAAAACAGUGAACAACCAGAAAGACCACACAAACAUAUUAGGAAAACAGUUACUUACAUAGUUAUGUACGUGGGAGUGGCCAGAAACAGAGAGGUAUAAAUUAUAAAACUUUGUGUUGUUUAAUUUUUCACUUGCGUCUCGAGUCCAGCUGGCUUUUGUAUAUUCUGUGAUUUCACAAUAACGUCUACCAGUAGCCUGAAGUUUCUGUCUGCCUCUCACAUUCGAGUUUUGUUUCACUAUAAUUUAUUAUGUGUAUUGACUAAAGAAGAACUUCAACAAAUUAGCGAGCCAGACCAGGAGGAAGACAUUAUCGAGACUGACCGGGACCAGGGUUCCGCAUCAGCCCUUUCAUACUCCAAUCACACUAGCCUGUAGAGAAAAGGUCUGUAGUGCUGUGAUUGGUCUGUGGGGAGCUACGACCGACCCCAGUAAAGGGUUCUGGUUGGUCCUGUGAAAUCCUCCUCAAAGAACCUGGUGGUGAACUGUGACUGUUGUUAUAAUCUGCUGAACAACAUAAAGGACCCAGGAUGUUUCUCAAGGAUGUGCAGCAUGGCGUCAUGCAGUGUCAGGAAGAACAUUGAUGGCUGAACUUCAUCAUCAAAGAAGCAACAGUCAUGCAGUUUCUCCAGGAUGUAAGCUACGGGUGGGGAGAAGACAUUUGUCAAAGUAGUUAAUUCAGAUGCCUAUAAAGAACUUAGAGACAAAGAAAUUAUGACACCAAGGAUUGUAAGCUGUCAAACAUGUCAACAUGUGUUUUUUCUUGAAAUACAGAUUGCGAAUAAGUGGGCUUCUAUUUAUUGUAAAACCAAUAAACUUUAUGAAAAGCUUAUCAUUUCUGUCUAAAAGGAA